UGAGACUUCGUUCAUCUCCUGCACCACCAGCUUCACCACGUCUUCUGCUGACAUCUUGUUGGUGAUAUGCAGCUGCGCAGAAAUAAAGGAGGACCUGCAGCCAUCAUAGACCUAGCAGCAAUGGGAGUGAGAGAAUGCCUGCAUAACAUCCUGUGCUACUUCUCUUCUUGGAUUUGGAGGGAGGCAGCUUCAAUUGAGGGGACAAAUUGAGACUCUGCUGGAGACACGUACAAGGCACCUUUCCACAGGUACAAGCAACUGAGGUAUUAACUUAGAUGGUGAGCAUUGCACACACAGCUUUUUCUACUCACCCUCUGUAACAUACCUGCAUAUAGUCCUGAACUUGCUG